rnacentral:rRNA from 1 species
UACAGAGGUCCCGAGCGUUGUUCGGAUUCACUGGGCGUAAAGGGUGCGUAGGUGGUGAGGUAAGUCGGAUGUGAAAUCUCCGGGCUCAACCCGGAAAUGGCAUUGGAAACUACCUUGCUGGAGGAUUUGAGGGGGGAUUGGAAUACUUGGUGUAGCAGUGAAAUGCGUAGAUAUCAAGUGGAACACCAGUGGCGAAGGCGAGUCCCUGGACAACACCUGACACUGAGGCACGAAAGCUAGGGGAGCAAACAGG